rnacentral:lncRNA from 1 species
UCAGACUCCUGUUUCUUUACUUCCAAAAUACAGGAAAACAAGAAAUCCACAACUCUUACGAAGAGAAGUAUGUCAACAUUGUCCAAAGUAUUUUUCUAAAAUCCAAGUCAAAUUUUAAAACUAUUUUCCCAAGCACAAAAUAUAGAAAAAAACAAUGCAAAAAAGAGUUUAUCACAUCAAUCUACAACCAACCAAGUAUAAUAUGUCAUUUUAAUCUUAAUUUUUAUUAAAGGUAAAUAUUAAUGAAUCAUAAAUAAAUACAUAUGCCCACUCCUGAAAAAUGACAUGAGUCUAAUCCCCCUAAAAUACAAAGAGACAUUUUCAAAUAUCAUUCAGUAACAUAUAAAUUCACUUUUAUUUCUUGUCUUUUAGGAAAAGCAAAAUUUGACCACCGAGUCUCCUUGGUUAACAUCAAUAACUUCCAGUCAUGGUGCAUCUUCCUUGACGAUUCAUAUGACCAGAUGUAAAAUAAGUAAAUUCUCUCCCGACCUGAUAUUUUCCAUAGCAGAAUUUAAUGAAGGGCCUCACUGCUUCUUUGCUUUAUCUCUUUGGGGCCUAAAAGACAGAUCCCUUGAGACAAUGGACUUGGCAUUGACCACCCAGGAGCAGGUGCGUGACAGGAGCUCUGGGCUAGGCUGUGGACAUGCCACACUGACCAUCCACAUUCUGCAUGUGUCAGGCACUCAUCUCUUAAACCAGAGAAUGGAGAUAGUAGAAUAAAUGACAAUGCAAAACAAUGGGAUUCCAAAAACCACAUUUGGCUAUAAAAGUGACUUGUCUACUUAAAUCUUAAGUUGAUAAGUCUGACACAGAAGGAAUUUUUUUAAAUUAAAAUCUGAUUUUUUGUUUGUCAGUAUUGCAAUUGGCAGAUGCUAGGACAUAUUCCUGCUUCCUCCUCUCAAGUGCUCACAAGCCCUUCAUGGCUCUUGGCCCCACACUGGGGGUGCACAGCUUCACUGCUCAGUUUCAGGGCCAAUCUGAGAGCAAGGGGUCCUUUCCUGGUACUACUUGAAAAGCAGGAAAAUUGAGAGGAGCUCAUGCUUUUGAGUUCCCAGAGGCCACAAGCUACAAAUCUUUCCAGCUAUAUUCAAAACAGAGAAUACAAUCACAUUUCAUAUCCCAGAAACAUAACUGAGAGUUUAUUUCAAAUGCAUCUCAGCCUGUGAUAAAGUUCCCUAGUGUUCACAUACAGAUUUUUGAGUCUUGUAGAACCAACAGAAAUAAAAAUAAAUGACAAUAACAAUCUAUAAAAAAAAAAAAAGCUUCAAAAAUUGGUGUUGGAAGGGACCUGACAAUUCACUUAAUUCCUCUACUCCAGUGCACCACUCUACCUGAGGAUAUCCUUUGGGAAAUUGCCUUAAAACCCAUUAAGUGGGGAUCCCUGGGUGGCUCAGCGGUUUAGCACCAUCUUCAGCCUGGGGUGUGAUCCUGGAGUCCUGGGAUCGAGUCCCCCGUUGGGCUCCCGGCAUGGAGCCUGCUUCUCCCUCCUCCUGUGUCUCUGCCUCUCUGUCUCUCUAUGUCUAUCAUAAAUAAAUAAAUCUUUAAAAAAAAACCAUUAAGUAAUUAUUAGUAUAUCCUCUCUACCUCGCACCAUGCCAGGGACUUAGAGCAAAGAGUAAGCCUGGAGAAGUUUACAGUCUCUGGGAAAUAGCUAAAAACAUAAGUCCUGAUAUGAAAACUACCAAAAAAUAGUUCUUUAAAAAAAAAUCAUGAGUAUGUCUGGGUGGUUCAGUCAGUUAAGCAUCUGCCUUCAGCUCAGGUCAUGAUGUCAGGGUCCUGGGAUCGAGUGUCUCAUGGGGCUCCCUGCUCAGUGGGGAAUCAGUUUCUCCUUCUGCCCCUCCCCACUGCUUAUGACACCUCUCUCUCUCUCUCUCUCUCUCUCUCAAAUAAAUAAAUAAAUAAUGUGCUAUUUUUUAAAAAAUCAUGAGAAAACAAAUAUUUCCAAAUGGAAGACAUGGAGAAAAGAUAAGCAUCUUCUCAUCUAUUUUUAAAACUAGAAGGCACAGCAUCUGUUAUAGUAAAAUGGGCUUGUUAAUUAUUUACCCUAUCACAGAGCCAUAGGAUCUUAGUGUGGCCAGCCCACGAACCUCACCAAGGCCAGGCUGUCCCUUUCAGCUUGUGUAUCAGGGCAGAGGAGUCUGGAUGGCACUGCAUGCAGUUCUGGCUUAUAAGAAACACAUCCAUAAGUCACUAGGCUGCUCCAUCUCUUUCACUGUUAUUUCACUCUUUUUAAACAUUUUGCUGAAAGUCGAGUCCAGGACAACCUCUAAACAAUGUGACUGUGGAUUGUCCCACAGUCUUUGUUUCCAAGACACCAGCACACACAUGGCACAUAGUAUGUAACAGGCAUGUGACCGAUUGUACAGUGUUGACAAGUGACCUCUCAAGCUCCAUGCUGCUGCCCCAAGGCUGAGGACACCAGGGGCACACCUGCUGUUGUACAUCCCAACUAAGCAAACAUCAGGUUGCUCUUUUAUUGACCUUUCCAGACUCUUGGGGAGGGCAGAUGGCACAUGGAAACCAGCUGCCACAGAGCGUGGUGCCUCUACUUAGAGCCUCAGAUCACGGCGUGUGCACACACACACACACACACACACACACACAUUGGAGAGGCAGCAUGUCUGGAAUGUUGAUAGAUGACUUGUUUCACCAGGACUUCAGGUAGUGAGAGAGGUGGAACUGGGGGCUGGACUGGUCUGCAGGGUUCGUGGUCUAGAACCAGACACUUGUUUGGGGGAAGCCUAAGGGACUAGAACAGAAUAGGUCAGAGGACUCAGUGACACAGGAGAUUCUUGGGAAUGCCACAGAUGACAAAGGGCCAAGUUCCAGAAGGUCAAAUAGGACCAGGAAGGAGCAGAUGGAGAUGUGCGUCAACACUCAGAAAAGAAGUGGUCCCCAGGCAGAGGGACAAGAUGGCAGACCUUUUGGGUGGGUCCAGCCCUGGGUUCCCGUGGAAAACCUAGGAUGCCCCAUGGGAGGACUCACCAAUCAUGCCCUGGAGAAGGGUGACACACUGAAAGCCAAGGGAUCAGGUUUCAGCCAUGUCUGUCUAACAUCCAAGGUGUUAAUCUUGGCAACAAUGGGGACCCCAAAACGUUGUUGUGAGGGUUCACUAGGACAGAACAGCUUCUGUGGAAAUGGGUCACAACAUCUGUCCACAAAGAAGGUGCUGAACAAAUGCUGCUUCUUUAACUUGCCAAGAGAACUGAUGCCCCAAUCACCUUCUUGACAUGUGUAUUUACGCUAAUUAGUUAAAGCUGUUUGCAAAACCCACCGCCAAGAACCUCAGCUUGACCUUCCUUCCUGACAUCCUGGGGUUGGGGGUCACCAGUCUGACCUCUGCAAUGGCCUGCAGCUCACGGACAAGAAAGCAGGUACCCAGAAGCAAUCACUCAGCUCCCCUGGGUCUCUGAGUUUCCUAAUUAUGAUCUGCUUCUUGAAAAAAUUUCUCUAGAUGUGAAGUGGAGGAUGGGUUGGAAGGCAGCAUGAUUGGCUCCAGGAGACCAAUGGGGAGGAUGCAGCAUGAGUCCACUUGAACGAAGAGGGUGGCUGGGAAUGAGGUUCCAGGGGUGGACAUGGAGAGAAGAGGCCAGGUCCACAGGAAGUGGCAACCAUCAGACGUGCAGGGUGAAGUGAGCAAGAGGAAAGUUGCAAGGGUGACCCCUGGCCUGAACAGAAUGGACAUAUGGGUAGUGGCAGCCUUUCCUGAGACCAAGAAGUUCCAAUCUUGGAGACCAGGCUUGGGAGUCUGGUUGUAGCUGUGCUGCAUUGCGUGCACCUUGGCGGUUCUCCAGAGGAGAUGUUACUGGGUCUAGUGACUAGCGCUCAGGGAGAGGAGGCCUGACAGGUGUUGCUGGUUUGGAUUUUUCUUUCCUCUCUUUUUACACAGAGGGCUAUGAGGCUCCAAUGGUGUGUCUUAAGAAAAGUAGGAAAUAAGUACUUUUACUAUAAAAAAAAAAAAAAGAGAGAGAGAGAGAGAGAGAGAGAGAAAAGCAGUAUGACACAGUAGGUAUGGUGUCAGGCUGAGCAUCAGGAGGUCCCUCCAAGUGCUGAGCUGAAGCACCAACUGCAAAUCUUGGUUUUCAUGCAUAAACAGAGGGGAAUGGGACCGAGUUCCAAACCCUCUUUAUGUCCAUAAGCACAGAGAUUCUUCUUGCAUUUGAAACGGUUUUCUCACCUUUUAUUCCAGGUGUCUGGAAUAAGCGAGGACCUCGACCCACAGGCCAUGUGCGCCCUGACAACAGGAAAGAAAACCUAGAGAAUCAUAGGGCUUCCAGGGUGAGAACCUGAGACACAAGUGACCUUGUCAGAGGAGACGGUCACCCCUGAGCACGCCAGGAAGUGAGAACAGCCCGAGUCUGCAUCCUAUAUGAGACAGGAUGUGUGGACGAUGUUGAAAGUGGGCAAAGGUGUCUAAGAAAGAGUUCAAUGCUCAACAGGAAGGAGGGACCAGAGGUUCAUGAGAGCGAGGACAAAAGUGCCGUCUUUGCAA